rnacentral:lncRNA from 1 species
CAAAUUUGUCCAUAGCCAAGAUAUUUUCUUAUAACUAUCUUAUUUAGGAAAUGAUUAUUUUACCCUUUUACUUUCUCUACAAUUCCAUCAUUUUCUUAACAACUUUUUUGGUAAAAUUUACAAUUUAGUCUUUCUCUUUUCAUUAUUUGUUCAAUUUGGUCCUUAUUAAUCAUUUUCCUUAUUUUCAGAUCUUUACACCCUCAAUAUAUUUGAACUAUUGGCCCUUCAAAUUUCCUAAUUUAUACUUUAACCUCUCUGUAACACCCC